rnacentral:other from 1 species
CUAUCUCUGAGGUGCGCGCCAAGUAGCCCAAUCCCCUGAGCCGAUUUCAUCCUAUUGGGAUGCGUUCUGUUGGUUCUGUGCGCAAGUCUGCCUUGAGUAGAAAGCCUGUGAGCCAUCGGCGCCUCCUCCUUGAACCUAACGGGUUCAAGGGUAACGGUUAUUAGCGGCAUUCUUGGAGACCUA